rnacentral:rRNA from 1 species
GUCCUACGGGGGGCAGCAGUGGGGGAUAUUGCACAAUGGGGGAAACCCUGAUGCAGCGACGCCGCGUGGGUGAAGAAGCGCCUCGGCGCGUAAAGCCCUGUCAGCAGGGAAGAAAAUGACGGUACCUGAAGAAGAAGCCCCGGCUAACUACGUGCCAGCAGCCGCGGUAAUACGUAGGGGGCAAGCGUUAUCCGGAUUUACUGGGUGUAAAGGGGGCGCAGACGGCGAUGCAAGCCAGGAGUGAAAGCCCUGGGCCCAACCCCGGGACAGCUCUUGUAACUGCGGUGCUAGCGUGC